CGGGUAUAGUUCAAUGGUAGAACGUCAGCCUUCCAAGCUGAACAUGCGGGUUCGAUCCCCGCUACCC
rnacentral:tRNA from 1 species